CACCCAUUUCUCCCUGCUUCCAG
rnacentral:miRNA from 1 species